UACGUAGGGGGCAAGCGUUGUCCGGAUUUAUUGGGCGUAAAGAGCGUGUAGGCGGCUUUGCAAGUCCGUUGUGAAAACUCGAGGCUCAACCUCGAGACGCCGGUGGAAACUGCAAAGCUAGAGCCGGAAGAGGAGAGGUGGAAUUCCUGGUGUAGCGGUGAAAUGCGGCAGAUAUCAGGAAGAACACCCGUGGCGAAGGCGGCUCCUCUGGGACGGUACUGACGCUGAGACGCGAAAGCGUGGGGAGCGAACAGG
rnacentral:rRNA from 1 species